rnacentral:misc_RNA from 1 species
GAUGAAGAACGUAGCGAAAUGCGAUACGUAAUGUGAAUUGCAGAAUUCAGUGAAUCAUCGAAUCUUUGAACGCACAUUGCGCCCGCCAGUAUUCUGGCGGGCAUGCCUGUUCGAGCGUCAUUUCAACCAUCAAGCCCCCGGCUUGUGUUGGGGACCUGCGGCUGCCGCAGGCCCUGAAAACCAGUGGCGGGCUCGCUAGUCACUCCGAGCGUAGUAAUACAUCUCGCUCAGGGCGUGCUGCGGGUUCCGGCCGUUAAAAGCCUUAUUUACCCAAGGUUGACCUCGGAUCAGGUAGGAAGACCCGCUGAACUUAAGCAUAUCAAUAAGCGGAGGA